rnacentral:miRNA from 1 species
GUUGGUGCAAAAGUAAUUGCGGUUUUUGGCAUUAAAAGAAUGGGGAAACCGCAAUUACUUUUG